GUUUUCAAUGUAUUAACAGAUUAUAUAAAUUGUGUGACUGAUCUUACUUAAAUAUUACACAAAGUUGUUGCCUGGUCUAUUUCCUUUGGAGAGAUUAACUGGGAGAUCUGGCCAGAUAGGAUGGGUGCUGGUUUUAGUGCUCAUCAGCCUAAAAAAAUCAGAGCCUGUCUGUUAGGCUCCAUGUAAUGUGAGUUGUAUUACUCAUCACACAUUAUUUUGAGUUGGUAUCACACUAUUGUUUGCUUAUUUGCUUAUUCUGUAUGUUAUUCAGUAAUAAAU